UUGUCCACCGUACCCACCAAAACAAUAACAAAUCGUACGCAAAGGCUUAUCCCACGCCUACUACUGGACUAGACUGGACGCGUUCUACUUGCUGUACCUUACCUGUAUUGCUGCUCUUCACUUGGUUUCAUUUUUGCUGAUAUCAAACCCCAGGUUCCAAUCCACGACCGAACUAGCCCCCUAAAGCACACCAGCUGACACUCAAGCAGUCCCGAGGUCAUGGAGGUCAGUGCUGACAUCAGCAAAUGGACAGUGCAGACGUUAAAAACGUUUUUAAAGUCGAAAGGCAUACCAUGUUCUGGGUAUGGCAAAAGCCAGUUGAAGGACAUGGUACUGAUGGCACUGCAGCAACCUCAUUUAGUGGAAGAUGUCCUGCCUCUGAAGGAAGAUGAUCACACACAGAGGAGAUCUAUUAAAUUAUCUGGGACACAAGUCUUGCUUCCAGAUCCAAGGACUCUCACUGAGUGGCAGGAGGACUUGAGUACAAUGCCCUAUAUUACUCAAGCCCAUGUACUCAUGUAUCUGGUCUUAAAACAGGGAUGGCCAGCAGAACGCAUCCAAGCCUAUGAAAAGGAAUGUGGCUACCAGCUUUAUCAGGAGAGACACAUCCAGCAUGUUCAAGUAAAAAAGCUGGAUUAUGAUGUGUCGUGCAUUAAAGGUACCUGUGUGCGCCAAACCAACCAGAAUGAGACCCCUUACCAAGUUUGGAUGUUUGCCUCUUCUAAUGGUGACAUCCAUGCAGCUGGCUGCCAGUGUAUAGGAGAUGAUGGGGGAUGCAAGCACGUCUUUGCAUUCAUCUUCGCCGUAUCAGAUUUUGUGCAGCGUUGUGGGGUGCAGCCGGGAAGUGCACAGCGUACCUGCACAGACGUGACUUGCACCUGGGACAAGCCUCGCAGGCAAAAUAAGUGUAACUUUAACCUUGUC